rnacentral:rRNA from 1 species
UACGUAGGGGGCGAGCGUUGUCCGGAUUUAUUGGGCGUAAAGCGCCUGUAGGUUGUUUAAUAAGUCUGUUGUUAAAGCCUAGGGCUUAACCCUAGAAAAGCAAUGGAAACUACUAGACUAGAGUAUGGCAGGGGUAGAGGGAAUUUCUAGUGUAGCGGUGAAAUGCGUAGAUAUUAGAAAGAACACCGGUGGCGAAAGCGCUCUACUGGACCAUUACUGACACUCAGAGGCGAAAGCUAGGGUAGCAAAAGGGAUUAGAUACCCCUGUAGUCUUAGCCGUAAACGAUGGAUACUAGAUGUUGUGCUUAAUGUACAGUAUCGUAGCUAACGCGUUAAGUAUCCCGCCUGGGGAGUACGCUCGCAAGGGUG